rnacentral:rRNA from 1 species
UGGGGAAUAUUGGACAAUGGGCGAAAGCCUGAUCCAGCCAUGCCGCGUGUGUGAAGAAGGUCUUCGGAUUGUAAAAGCACUUUUAAAGUUGGGAGGAAGGGUAGUAAAAUUAAUACUUUGCUGUUUUGACGUUACCGACAGAAUAAGCACCGGCUAACUCUGUGCCAGCAGCCGCGGUAAUACAGAGGGUGCAAGCGUUAAUCGGAAUUACUGGGCGUAAAGCGCGCGUAGGUGGUUUGUUAAGUUGGAUGUGAAAGCCCCCGGGCUCAACCUGGGAACUGCAUCCAAAACUGGCAAGCUAGAGUAUGGUAGAGGGUGGUGGAAUUUCCUGUGUAGCGGUGAAAUGCGUAGAUAUAGGAAGGAACACCAGUGGCGAAGGCGACCACCUGGACUGAUACUGACACUGAGGUGCGAAAAGCGUGGGGAGCAAAACAGGAUUAGAUACCCUGGUAGUCCACGCCCGUAAAACGAUGUCAACUAGCCGUUGGGAGUCUUGAACUCUUAGUGGCGCAGCUAACGCAUUAAGUUGACCGCCUGGGGAGUACGGCCGCAAGGUUAAAAGCUCAAAUGAAUUGACGGGGUCAUAGCUGUUU